AAGCCUGUAACUUAAUGGUUAGAGUGCUCGCUUGAUAAGCGAGUUAUGGCGGUUCGAUUCCGUCCAGGCUCAACA
rnacentral:tRNA from 1 species